GACGAACGCUGGCGGCGUGCCUAAUACAUGCAAGUAGAACGCUGAAGGAGGAGCUUGCUUCUCUGGAUGAGUUGCGAACGGGUGAGUAACGCGUAGGUAACCUGCCUGGUAGCGGGGGGUAACUAUUGGAAACGAUAGCUAAUACCGCAUAAUAGUAGAUGUUGCAUGACAUUUGCUUAAAAGGUGCAAUUGCAUCACUACCAGAUGGACCUGCGUUGUAUUAGCUAGUUGGUGGGGUAACGGCUCACCAAGGCGACGAUACAUAGCCGACCUGAGAGGGUGAUCGGCCACACUGGGACUGAGACACGGCCCAGACUCCUACGGGAGGCAGCAGUAGGGAAUCUUCGGCAAUGGACGGAAGUCUGACCGAGCAACGCCGCGGGAGUGAAGAAGGGUUUCGGAUCGUAAAGCUCUGUUGUAAGAGAAGAACGAGUGUGAGAGUGGAAAGUUCACACUGUGACGGUAUCUUACCAGAAAGGGACGGCUAACUACGUG
rnacentral:rRNA from 1 species